ACGAAAAGCAGGGCCCGUUCUUCUGGCUAAAAAUAACUGGAGCCCCGGGAGGGGGGCGGCGGGGGGCCCUGCAGGAUACCCCUGCCCAAACGCUGUCCGCGCCCGCCCCGGAAUAACCGCCUGCUCCCUCAGGACCCCAAACGAUGCAGCGCUCACUCGGGCUGGGGUGCCCGCGGUGCUCCCAGCGAGCAAGGGCGGCUCCAGGUCUGCCUCCCGGGGCCAAGUCCGGACUGGGGUUGGGACUGCGCCUGGGAACGGGGGGUCCCGGGGUGUCCUCCAGCCGCGGUGCUGUGCGACCCUGGGCAAGGCGCCUAACCUCUCUGGGCCCCCGUCCCGUGCUCUGGAAAAAGGGGCCUCGGCGGAUGCCCUCUGAGGUCCGAAGCUCUCUCUGAAAAAUCAAUGGAAAAUAUCCUCAGGCUCUUACUGGUCUCUGAGGUUCCUGGAGAUCUCCAACUUUCAGCAUUUGGAGCCAGCUCCAGCCAUCUCCCCAAUUUCCU